GAUGAACGCUAGCGAUAGGCUUAACACAUGCAAGUCGAGGGGCAGCACAAGGUAGCUUGCUAUCUGGGUGGCGACCGGCGCACGGGUGCGUAACGCGUAUGCAACUUGCCCUAUACAGGAGGAUAACCCGUCGAAAGACGGACUAAUACUGCGUAUGCUCACAACUUGGCAUCAAGUAGUGAGGAAAGAAAUUCGGUAUAGGAUAGGCAUGCGUCCCAUUAGCUUGUUGGUGAGGUAACGGCUCACCAAGGCCACGAUGGGUAGGGGAACUGAGAGGUUUAUCCCCCACACUGGUACUGAGACACGGACCAGACUCCUACGGGAGGCAGCAGUGAGGAAUAUUGGUCAAUGGGCGCGAGCCUGAACCAGCCAAGUCGCGUGAAGGAUGACUGUCUUAUGGAUUGUAAACUUCUUUUAUACGGGAAUAACAAGAGUCACGUGUGACUCCCUGCAUGUACCGUAUGAAUAAGCAUCGGCUAACUCCGUGCCAGCAGCCGCGGUAAUACGGAGGAUGCGAGCGUUAUCCGGAUUUAUUGGGUUUAAAGGGUGCGUAGGCGGUUUGUUAAGUCAGCGGUGAAAUCUAGAGGCUCAACCUCGAAACUGCCGUUGAAACUGGCGAACUUGAGUGUAGAUGAGGUAGGCGGAAUUCGUGGUGUAGCGGUGAAAUGCAUAGAUAUCACGAGGAACUCCGAUUGCGAAGGCAGCUUACUAAGGUACAACUGACGCUGAAGCACGAAAGCGUGGGUAUCAAACAGG
rnacentral:rRNA from 1 species